UCCAGGAUUUGGAACAACAUAUUGAAGUGAACGUUGAUAUCUUUAUAAAAUUGUAUGCUGGAGGAAAUGUAGAGACAAGACAAAGACAGAAUUAUAGAUUACUAUUGUAAUGCUUGCGAGCAAAAAAACUUACUCCGCUAGAACAAUGACCCUAAAUUGGUCUUGGCCUCUUGACACAAGAAAUUGCCAAAUUUGUGGAAGCAAGAAAAGGAAUGGAAAUAUUUAAAACCAUCAUUGUUGAUUAUCUACAGUAUUCCAGAUUAAGAUUAGGAAAAACUGGGUUUAUUUUAACAUAACUGCUGCUUACAAAUAAAACGGAAACCCAUAAGGAACUACACCAUGUCCAGAGGGAUUACGCGGAUCUGAAGAAUAUGCAGUACUAUGUUUACACGCAAUUAAUUCGUUGUGAUUAACUUUCAAAUAUAAAAAGAACUUAA